GAGUUUGAUCCUGGCUCAGGAUGAACGCUAGCGGCAGGCCUAAUACAUGCAAGUCGAACGGUAAGGCUCCUUCGGGAGUACACGAGUGGCGCACGGGUGAGUAACGCGUAUGCAACCUACCUUGAACUGAGGGAUAGCCCAGAGAAAUCUGGAUUAAUACUUCAUACAAAUAUAAUUUGGCAUCAUUUUAUAUUUAAAGCUCCGGCGGUUUAAGAUGGGCAUGCGUGACAUUAGUUAGUUGGUGAGGUAACGGCUCACCAAGACAGCGAUGUCUAGGGGUUCUGAGAGGAUUUUCCCCCACACUGGUACUGAGACACGGACCAGACUCCUACGGGAGGCAGCAGUAAGGAAUAUUGGGCAAUGGACGAAAGUCUGACCCAGCCAUGCCGCGUGCAGGAUGACAGCCCUAUGGGUCGUAAACUGCUUUUAUAUGGGAAGAAACUCCACUACGUGUAGUGGACUGACGGUACCAUACGAAUAAGGAUCGGCUAACUCCGUGCCAGCAGCCGCGGUAAUACGGAGGAUCCAAGCGUUAUCCGGAUUUAUUGGGUUUAAAGGGUGCGCAGGCGGGCUAAUAAGUCAGUGGUGAAAUCUCUCGGCUCAACCGAGAAACUGCCAUUGAAACUGUUAGUCUUGAGUACAGUUGUGGUAGGCGGAAUGUGUAAUGUAGCGGUGAAAUGCUUAGAUAUUACACAGAACACCGAUUGCGUAGGCAGCUUACCAGACUGGAACUGACGCUGAGGCACGAAAGCGUGGGUAGCAAACAGGAUUAGAUACCCUGGUAGUCCACGCCGUAAACGAUGAUCACUCGUUGUUUGGCAAUACAUCGUCAGCGACCAAGCGAAAGUGUUAAGUGAUCCACCUGGGGAGUACGCUCGCAAGAGUGAAACUCAAAGGAAUUGACGGGGGCCCGCACAAGCGGUGGAACAUGUGGUUUAAUUCGAUGAUACGCGAGGAACCUUACCUGGGCUUAAAUGCAGAACGACGAUUCGGGAAACCGAUUCUCCCUUCGGGGCGUUCUACAAGGUGCUGCAUGGUUGUCGUCAGCUCGUGCCGUGAGGUGUCGGGUUAAGUCCCAUAACGAGCGCAACCCUUAUCGUUAGUUGCCAGCGGGUCAUGCCGGGGACUCUAACGAAACUGCCGGUGUAAACCGAGAGGAAGGUGGGGAUGACGUCAAAUCAGCACGGCCCUUAUGUCCAGGGCUACACACGUGUUACAAUGGCCGAUACAAAGGGCAGCUACCAGGCGACUGGAUGCUAAUCUCUAAAGUCGGUCUCAGUUCGGAUCGAAGUCUGCAACUCGACUUCGUGAAGGUGGAUUCGCUAGUAAUCGCGUAUCAGCAACGACGCGGUGAAUACGUUCCCGGGCCUUGUACACACCGCCCGUCAAGCCAUGGAAGUUUGGGGUACCUAAAGUCCGUAACCGCAAGGAACGGCCUAGGGUAAAACAGAUGACUGGGGUUAAGUCGUAACAAGGUAGCCGUA
rnacentral:rRNA from 1 species